rnacentral:rRNA from 1 species
AUUGAACGCUGGCGGCAGGCUUAACACAUGCAAGUCGAGCGGGGGAAGGUAGCUUGCUACCGGACCUAGCGGCGGACGGGUGAGUAAUGCUUAGGAAUCUGCCUAUUAGUGGGGGACAACAUCUCGAAAGGGAUGCUAAUACCGCAUACGUCCUACGGGAGAAAGCAGGGGAUCUUCGGACCUUGCGCUAAUAGAUGAGCCUAAGUCGGAUUAGCUAGUUGGGGGGGUAAAGGCCUACCAGGGCGACGAUCUGUAGCGGAUCUGAGAGGAUGGUCGGCCACACUGGGACUGAGACACGGCCCAGACUCCUACGGGAGGCAGCAGUGGGGAAUAUUGGACAAUGGGGGGAACCCUGAUCCAGCCUUGCCGCGUGUGUGAAGAAGGCCUUAUGGUUGUAAAGCACUUUAAGCGAGGAGGAGGCUACUCUAGUUAAUACCUAGGGAUAGUGGACGUUACUCGCAGAAUAAGCACCGGCUAACUCUGUGCCAGCCGCCGCCGUAA